UACGUAGGGGGCAAGCGUUGUCCGGAUUUAUUGGGCGUAAAGAGCGUGUAGGCGGCUAGGUAGGUCCGUUGUGAAAACUCGAGGCUCAACCUCGAGACGCCGGUGGAAACCAUCUAGCUAGAGUCCGGAAGAGGCGAGUGGAAUUCCUGGUGUAGCGGUGAAAUGCGCAGAUAUCAGGAGGAACACCAAUGGCGAAGGCAGCUCGCUGGGACGUGACUGACGCUGAGACGCGAAAGCGUGGGGAGCAAACAGG
rnacentral:rRNA from 1 species